rnacentral:hammerhead_ribozyme from 1 species
GUACAGAUGAAGAGUCCUAAACAGGGCUGACGAAACAGCUGUCCAGUAC